UAUGACGAAAGAGCCAUUUUAGCUAGUGAUGUUUUGUUUUUAGCAUAACUCAACUCUGGAGCUCAGUAAUUAAAAAGGCAUAUGCUUGUAAAUUUUGGAUUUAGUUCUAAAAAAUCAAACAAAAGUUUCUCUGCUGUUGCAUGUGAGAAUCAGCACUUCUGCAACAAACUCAAAUGGGCAGGCUGCCUCCAAACCCAGGACCUCUCAGUCAGCAAGAGGAAAAUUAUGCAGUUAAGCUGAAAAGGAAUUCCUCUUGACUCACCUGGAUAAGCUGCUGGAUGCUGAUUUGGAGACCUGUGUGUGAAUGUGAAAUGGAGAGGGUCAGAGCCCUGAGCGAUUCCUUGCCGAUGAAAGUAAUGAAAGCUGAUGAGUGGUAACCACAAGGAUACAUCUGUGAGAAGCAGGUUGACCAAAAUCACUUUCAAGCAGUGCAUGGACAGAUGGCCUGAUUUCCAGACAGGAACCAUUAACUGGAACCUGACUGUGUUCUGAUGUAAAACACGAGGAGUUUGUCAAUCCUGAAGGAUCUCAGAGCAGGGGUUUCUGCACCACCAAACUAAGAUGAACUAGAAUUGACGUUGUCUGAGUGUGGCACUUAGUGCCGCUAACCUACUGCCAAGUUGUUUUGCCUGCCUAAGGAAAAGUCAUCUCUGACGGAGGAUCACAGGAAUCAUCGGGUAAAGGGGUCCUUUCAUUGGAUUGGCUGGACCAGCGCUGACUCAGCUGUGGAAUAGCCUAUAGGGGAGGCAGCCUGAUGGCUGUGGUCUCCUGGAUGCUGAACAAAUCCAAAUCGUAUUAUGUAAUAUCAUCUGAUGAAGCAGAAUCGUCGCAAGAAAGGUGAAAAGGACAACUGGGCCAAAGAGGGGGAAACUUCAGCCACUUCCUUGUACAGGAUCAUGUUAAACAGACGUAUCCACCACACAUGACUUUUUUCAUUAAUGGAAGCAAUUUGUUUCUAUGGAAAGGAGCAGGACAAAUGUGGGCAACUGUAUGCAGGAUUGGGCAGGCGUGGGAUGGUAUACUGUACAAUGGGAGCGGGCAGGCAAAGGUUUAUCAAUAAAAUCAGUCCCAUGCAGACCUCUACUUCAAGGUGAAAAAAAAGAAAGAAAAAAGAAAGGCACAAGAAAUUCCCAUUAGUACAGCACUUGUUUGGGUCUGAGACUAUAAGGUCUUGCAUUGUGCAUGCUCUGAAGAAUGGCACGAUUUCAGUUGGUUAAAAAGAUUAGUUGUGUUACUUGUGUUUGUGGUAAAAUGCUUUUGACACAUUUCACAGUACAUGCUACUAUGCUUCUUGUCGGACUACGGACUUCAAAUAGCAAAAAUAUCUCCACACUACCAAAUUCAUCUGACCCUUCUUUUCAACAAUGUUGUCAUCUUUUGAGCCUUCAGUUAUGUCCACUGAGGUGUCUUUUUCAGUAAUGCUUAUUAUUUUCCAGUUUUCAUUAAUAUUUUAUGUCAUUUUCUCUUUUAUCUCGGUCCCACUCCUGACAUACUGGCAUGCACUAAUGAGUUAGAUCACUGCCAAAAGUCAGUGUGCAAGGAAAACACAUUUUGUAAAUGCAAGUAGAAUUUUGAGCUUAUUUUGCAAGGGUAAAUUAACUUCAUAAUGCAGGGCUGCUUCUACCCAAAACAUUAUCUGCUGCUGCUAGCUGCUAUUAUGCUCAGUACUGUGUGCUUCAACCUAAACUGACGUAGCUGUAACUCUAUUCCAGCCACAUGAUUGGUUCGGCAUGGCGCUAUUCUCAUUAUCAUUGGCUUUUGUGUUGUCUGUCAAAACUUGGAUGGAAUGCGUUCUAUCAAGUUUCUAUUAACCAUGUCCAAAAUUUCUAUAGAGAAAAAGUUAUUUCGCGAUAAUUAUCAUUUUAUUGCUCAGCCUUAUGUCUAGCUAAUACAAACUUUCCUCAUAACAAAUACUAAUGAUUCUGCAGUCUAUUAUCUCAAUUUGCUAGGAUUCCAUUAUGUCUGUCUUACAGUACAGCAAAAAUAGAGCUAAACACAUUAUUUAAGAUGUGAACUAAAAGGGGCAUUAAAAAAUAUUACCCCAACCUUUCAAGACAUGUAUUUCAGGUACUAAUAUUCCUUAGAUAUUUAUUAUCUUACCAGCCUCUUUAUUUCACAAAAAGAGUUUUAUUGUGGAGAGUGGCAGGAUCUUCUGGGAUUUCAGUGACUUUGUAAUGCAAUCUAAUAUUACACUCCUUAUUGUGUACUAAUAUUUAAAAGUUUCAUUCAUAAUAGUGAACAUUAAAUUUUACAUACUGUAUGUCUAAAUUUCUGAAUGUAUAUGCUAUAUUUCGCCCAUGUCCAACUGUUUAGAGUAUUUGCUGCCCCCCAUUAAACAGCUUCUGUAAUACUUUUACUGCUCUUCAUAAAUGCAAUUAACUUAUUAAAAAUGUUUUAUCCAAAUAAUUU